AUUGCCCUAGUAACGGCGAGUGAAGCGGCAACAGCUCAAAUUUGAAAUCUGGCCCUUGCGGUCCGAGUUGUAAUUUGUAGAGGAUGCUUUUGGUUAGGUGCCUUCCGAGUGCCCUGGAACGGGCCGCCAUAGAGGGUGAGAGCCCCGUCUGGUUGGACACCGAGCCUCUGUAAAGCUCCUUCGACGAGUCGAGUAGUUUGGGAAUGCUGCUCUAAAUGGGAGGUAUAUGUCUUCUAAAGCUAAAUAUUGGCCAGAGACCGAUAGCGCACAAGUAGAGUGAUCGAAAGAUGAAAAGCACUUUGAAAAGAGGGUUAAAAAGUACGUGAAAUUGUUGAAAGGGAAGCGCUUGUGACCAGACUUGGGCCCGGUCAAUCAUCCAGGGUUCUCCCUGGUGCACUUGGCCGGCCCAGGCCAGCAUCAGUUCGUCGCGGGGGAUAAAGACGUUGGGAAUGUGGCUCCCCCGGGAGUGUUAUAGCCCUUCGUGCAAUACCCUGCUUUGGACUGAGGUUCGCGCAUCUUGCAAGGAUGCUGGCGUAAUGGUCAUCAGCGACCCGUCUUGAAACACGGACCAAGGAGUCGUCUUCGUAUGCGAGUGUUCGGGUAUCAAACCCCUACGCGUAAUGAAAGUGAACGCAGGUGAGAGCUUCGGCGCAUCAUCGACCGAUCCUGAUGUUCUCGGAUGGAUUUGAGUAAGAGCAUACGGGGCCGGACCCGAAAGAAGGUGAACUAUGCCUGUAUAGGGUGAAGCCAGAGGAAACUCUGGUGGAGGCUCGCAGCGGUUCUGACGUGCAAAUCGAUCGUCAAAUAUGGGCAU
rnacentral:rRNA from 1 species